GUUGGCCAGGCUGGUCUUGAACUCCUGGCCUCAAGUGAUUCACCCGCCUCCGCCUCCCAAAGUGCUGGCAUUUCAGGCGUGAGCCACCACGCUUGGUCUUGCUCUAGCUAUUCUAAACAUGAAGAAGUCAUAUAGCUUCCUUGGUGCGGUGGGCUGAAGUCACUCUAAGGGAGUUUCCCAGCCCCAGGGGUUAAAGAACUGGAGUCAAGAUUGGAACCCAGCUGGCGAAGGAUUCCGCACCGCUAGAUCUUGACAUUUGCCUCUUCUUCUGCCAGGAAGGCUCCCCUGUUCCUUUUUGCUGACGUGUCAUUUCUAAGUACUUUCUCCUACUCCAUAAAGACUUCAAGAAGCCAUGGCAGCAUGUCCGUAUGCUGGUGGAAUCAUCAAGUAGAGAGAGAAGAAUUGAUGCUGCAUUAGAGAGAGGGAGCAAUUGCAGGAACAAUGUGUUGAGUGGGAGAGAUGGGAUGCCAUCCAGAUGCAGAUGGAGGCGUUGAUCUUAAACAAGCAGGGAUGGAUCCAUCACUGAAGCAAGAGGAAAGGAGAAGACAGAAGUAUAGAUGCACAAAGUAAGUAACUGGAAUGUCUCAAUAAAAUGAUUCUUGGACUGGGUGUAAAAUCGUCUGAAAAUUUUGCUAACAACACAGAUGCUUAGGCUCACUUUAAACUUACUAACAAGAAUUCAUGGGGAUAGAGAGAACAUGUCCCAAAGAGGGAAGGCCCAGGGGAAAGAGAAAAAUCUCAGUGUGACUGAAGCAGAGAAUUUGAGAAUAGUGAUCAGAGAUGCGUUAAAGCAGGUAAGAUUUUUAUAACUUGGAUAUGGGGGAAGAAAGAAAGUCUCUGGGUUGGCUAACACAGAUGGCAGAGCUAUAUAUCCAAGAAAAAAAUUGCUGAAGAAAUAGCAGAAUAAGGGAUGAAAGUUGUUAAAUUAUGGACAUGUUGAGCUUAGGCAUCUGUGUG
rnacentral:lncRNA from 1 species